GCCGAAGUGGUGGAAUUGGUAGACGCGCUGGAUUCAAAAUCCAGUGGGGGCAACCCCGUGACGGUUCGAGUCCGUCCUUCGGCACCA
rnacentral:tRNA from 3 species